UCCAAAGCGGUGGAGUCUGUGGUAUUUAUUCUCUGUGUGUGUGGAACAUUUACAAUUUAAAAAAAAAAAAAAAAGAUAGCCCACAUCAUUCCCACAAAGUCUAUUUGCUGAAAGGAAACAUGUCAUUGGACCGAAGAGCUCCAGAAGAAAAACAGAGUACUGAAAACUGUGUCAACCAAAACAAGAAAACAAACCAAGAAAGAGGAAGAUGUGGUUCCAGGAAACAAGAGGUCUAACAUCUGAAAGAAUCAAAGAGAACUCACAUGAUGAUGACAAAAACCAACCUGAGGCAACGCCUAUACCAGGACACCUGUGUCACAAGGAGCUCCGGUUACACUGGAGAAAGGGAGGAAAGUGCGAAGUGUUGCCACGUUUCUCUUGGCUCAAGUCGCCACUUCAUGAGAAGCUGCCAUCUGGCGGAUGAUGAUGCAUUAUUGGGUCCUUACGCCUGACAACAUAAUGCUUAUGAGAAAUAUAUAUGGUCUUCCUUUUCACAGUGAUAUCCUAGAAUCUUGCCAAUGAAAGGCACUUUUCACCCACUUUGAGCAUCGUUAUCUCUUUCUCACAGUUUCUACCUUUAUAAGAAACUUUAUAAGAAACUUCCCUUCCACCACAUGAGAGAUUUUCCCUACGCUAUUUCUAUUAUCCUGAAAAUGUUUUUCUCACCCAGUUCCUCACGCUGGUCUGACUACCACACAGCAUUAAUGAAGCUUUAUGCGUAGGUUGGGGUGC